GGGAAUCUUUGCGACCUAACUGUUCCCGUGCUUGGUGUGCUGUUGGCCUGCUGUGUCGCUGUGAUUGUUGCCCUUGGUUUCUUUGUAAUAAGGAACCAACGUAACGUUUGCAAACACUGUAAAGGAGCAGCGAGUGUUUCUCAUCACCGUGAAAAUGACAGGUCAAGUGUGGAAGCAUCGAAUGAUGUGGACGGCGAAUCAGUGAACUAUGCGGCGCUGGAUUUCACUGCAAGGAAAGCGAAGAGAGUGAAGGAGAAGCGAGAAGCUCCACCGGAGAGUUUGUACUCUGCUGUGGAGCGCAGAUGAACCAAAUGAACUCAACAUUCGCUGUAAAUGGAGAUUGUCUGCAGAAGGACUCACGUCACUGAUAACCAAGCGGAGAAUACAUUUCAUUUAAAACAUUAUUUCCUUUUUUUUCCACUAUGUUCUAUAGUUACUGAACUGAAAUACACUGGAUGUUAAAACAAGCAUCAGAUUAUUUUAAUUCCCUUUAAAAGAGACAUUAUUAAGGCAAAUGUUAUAUAUAUAUAUUAUUAGACCACUACCCAAAAAACCCUACAGUUACCCUAAAUUAACAGCAUUGGUAAUUAACAAAACAUUAUUUUUUUUAAUGUUCCUUUCAAUGUUUAAUACACCAGCAUAUAGAAGCUCUUUAACUGAAAUUAUAUUAUUAAUGCUGACAUAUAAUUAAUAUAAUUAUCCAUUAAAGUUUUACAUAAAAAAAAAAAACUGGGAAAUAGUAAAGCACAUGAUUAUUUUUUCUAUACAGAUGUCAUCUUAUAGUUAUUUGCUUGCAUUCCUGAACAGAAUAUUUGGUUUUAGUGGUUGAAUGUUAUGCUUGAUUCAUUUCUGCCCUGCUCAAAUGUGGGUAUAUAUGCUCCCACUGGGCCAGAUCAUGGAGUAUCAUAACACCUCCUACCACUCGUACGCCGAUGAUACACAACUCUAUAUUACAGUGUCACCACAUGACUACAGUCCAUUACAGUCGCUGAGUGAGUGUAUCCAACAAGUCAAUCAGUGGAUGGGCCAGAAUUUUCUCCAGCUCAAUGCAGAAAAGACAGAAGUAACACUAAAAACCUGAUUAGAUGAAAUGGGAAGAACAGGUGUCAGCCCUGUGACAAACAAGGGAGGGCAAAAACACAACAGAUGAAAAAUUCUUUGUCUGCUUGAUUUAAAUCGUUUUAUUUUUUAUAAUUGAUUUUUUAAAAUUGAUUUUGUUUUCAUUUCAUAUGUAUUUACUUGCUUCUGUAAAGCACUAUGAAUUGCCUUGUGUAAGAAUGGCGCUAUAUAAACUUGCCUUGCCUAUAAAGACAGUGAAUCCAGCUCGUUAUUUUUAGUUUUUAAACAGGUUUUUGUCAACAUUUCUGAAAUAUUCAUAUUUUCUUGUUCAUUGCAAAGCCCUUGAC